GAGUCAGGCUUUAGAGAAUAUCUACAGAUCAGGAGCAAUGGAUCAAGUCUCCAAUGGCGGUGGAGAGAUCUACAUAGACACCCUUUUCACUUGAUUCUUCCAAAAGAUUGAGGGAAGAGGAUGAAAGGGGGAGAACACAAAACUGAAAGGUCGAAGUGAGCAGAGCAAUUGUGUCUGAGCUGUUGUCCUCUCUGUUCUGCCC
rnacentral:lncRNA from 1 species